UGACGAUGGAGAACGACAACCAGAGGAAGCAGUAUGAACGUUGUCUGGAUGAGGUGGCUAAUCAGGUGGUUCAAGCGCUCCUCACUCAAAAGGACCUAAAAGAGGAGUGUGUGAAGCUGAGGACACGCGUG